AAAAAUUCCCUCUUUUUUUUCAAUUAGCCAAAAUUUUCCCUCAUUUUUUAAUUCCCCCAAAUAUCCCUCUCUCUCAUUUCCCCCAAAUCAGCUUCUCUCUCGCUUCCUACCCCCCUCCUUCCCCAAUUUGACUCUAUUUUUCUCAAAUUGACUCCGUCGGUCGGUCUUUGCUACUUCGACCACCCAUUGCAAUUGAGAUGGACUCCGAGAUUGAAUUGGGUUAGAGUAAUUGGUGGAUUUUUAGUUUAUAUCGGCAAUACCUCCUCCUUCUAACUCUGAUUUGCAAAAUAUAUGCUACAGUUUUCACAUUUUGCUUUGAAGAUCUUCUUGUGUUCUUAGUCUAUGAAGUUGUGCUUUGAGGAGCUAAUGCGUGUAAGGGUACUCCGAGAUACGUAUUUAUAUUUUUUUUAUCAUGUAGGGAGGAGUUUGAGAAGAUUGAAGAUUUUGCUUUCAGACUACCAGUUGAGAGCUGGAACCGUUGCAAAUUACAUACGUGGUUCCAUAUGGAAGAAUCUAGUCGUUGAUGCUAAAGCUCGUGGUUGUUACUUUGAUGUUACUGACAACAACAGAUUGAAUCAGGCAAUUUUGAAUACAACCAUUGAACUUGACAAGCUCAAAACUUUACUCAGAACGGACUCUCCUAUAUUCGAAUCAGCCCAGUGGAAGGUCAUAUUUAGUGAGGAUUUUGCAAAAUCUAUUGCGAGAAUUAAGGAUGCUGAGAUAAGUAAAGAAGUGAUUUCCCUUUUGGUGAAGCUUUCGAGUGGUUGGCAUAAGUCAGAAAAGAACAGCAAGUUCAGCAACAAAAAUAGGAUAUCUUCUGUAUUGUUGGAGGUGUACUGCGUCAACCAACUAAAAUUGAUUUGGACAUAGAUAAUCUGCAGCGGAACUCAAUAUACGUUCAAGUAUUAAAGAUCUGGAACAUCAUACCUGGAUAUCUUAUACCGAAGUUGGCAAAGAACCUUGACAUCCAUUUUGUCCAAUAUACAGUGGAUAUGAUGAAUUGUUGCAAAUACAAACGUGUGGAACAGUACACAAUGUCUUUUUUCCCCCCUCUGAACUAAAUUGAUACAGAGAAAGAAUUUCAGUCAUCUAAAAGAGAACGAGAAGUAACUUACCAUAAUAAAUGGAACUAGUUAGUAGUAAACUAAGGUAGAUCUGUCGUCCUCCUAAUGAUCAUGGAAGUACUCCUUGUACAUGGAGGUUGCAGAGAAUGAAGGAUGGAGUGAGAGAAAUGAGACAAUGGUGUCACCUUAUGAUUCAA